UGGUUCGAUUUCCUCUUCUCAAAGGAACCCCCAACACCGUCGUCGGAGCAGCGGCGGCAGCAAGAGGAGGAGCGAGAUGGCGCAGCCCAGCAAGGAGCCGUGCAAGAAGGAGGCGUGCGACAUCCAGGCCUGCCUCUCCAAGAACCUCUUCGAUUCCAAGAAGUGUUUGAAAGUUAUUCAGUCACUACAAUCUUGUUGUGAGCAAUGCGAGUACAAAUCAACACAUUGUGGUUCUUUGUCGGGCUUGCUCAAAAACAUUUCAAAGUGAUGUAAUAAGACUAUCACUCAAUAAAGGUAAUUUUAGGUUUGCUUGGGAGUUAAUCAGGAUAUCAGUUUCUCUAAUCCAUCAUGUAUGACUGGGAAAAAUAAUAAUGCGCCAUCCUCAACCUGCAGAAAGGUGAUGUGGUUGCUAGUUGUUCGGUGCUGAGUUUGUCAACAUAUUUUUUUAAGAGGGAUACUGAUAUUGCCGUAUACCUGUAUCAUCCUUUGUAUUUCUUAUGCUCAUGUGCAGAUGUAAUUCAAGAAAAUAAGUGAACCCUGGCCUUGUUGUACACCAAUCUGCAUUUAUGAUAUGGGAAGUGUUUUUGAAUUGCA